rnacentral:rRNA from 1 species
UUAAAUUGAAGAGUUUGAUCAUGGCUCAGAUUGAACGCUGGCGGCAGGCCUAACACAUGCAAGUCGAACGGUAACAGGAAGCAGCUUGCUGCUUCGCUGACGAGUGGCGGACGGGUGAGUAAUGUCUGGGAAACUGCCUGAUGGAGGGGGAUAACUACUGGAAACGGUAGCUAAUACCGCAUAACGUCGCAAGACCAAAGAGGGGGACCUUCGGGCCUCUUGCCAUCGGAUGUGCCCAGAUGGGAUUAGCUAGUAGGUGGGGUAACGGCUCACCUAGGCGACGAUCCCUAGCUGGUCUGAGAGGAUGACCAGCCACACUGGAACUGAGACACGGUCCAGACUCCUACGGGAGGCAGCAGUGGGGAAUAUUGCACAAUGGGCGCAAGCCUGAUGCAGCCAUGCCGCGUGUAUGAAGAAGGCCUUCGGGUUGUAAAGUACUUUCAGCGGGGAGGAAGGGAGUAAAGUUAAUACCUUUGCUCAUUGACGUUACCCGCAGAAGAAGCACCGGCUAACUCCGUGCCAGCAGCCGCGGUAAUACGGAGGGUGCAAGCGUUAAUCGGAAUUACUGGGCGUAAAGCGCACGCAGGCGGUUUGUUAAGUCAGAUGUGAAAUCCCCGGGCUCAACCUGGGAACUGCAUCUGAUACUGGCAAGCUUGAGUCUCGUAGAGGGGGGUAGAAUUCCAGGUGUAGCGGUGAAAUGCGUAGAGAUCUGGAGGAAUACCGGUGGCGAAGGCGGCCCCCUGGACGAAGACUGACGCUCAGGUGCGAAAGCGUGGGGAGCAAACAGGAUUAGAUACCCUGGUAGUCCACGCCGUAAACGAUGUCGACUUGGAGGUUGUGCCCUUGAGGCGUGGCUUCCGGAGCUAACGCGUUAAGUCGACCGCCUGGGGAGUACGGCCGCAAGGUUAAAACUCAAAUGAAUUGACGGGGGCCCGCACAAGCGGUGGAGCAUGUGGUUUAAUUCGAUGCAACGCGAAGAACCUUACCUGGUCUUGACAUCCACGGAAGUUUUCAGAGAUGAGAAUGUGCCUUCGGGAACCGUGAGACAGGUGCUGCAUGGCUGUCGUCAGCUCGUGUUGUGAAAUGUUGGGUUAAGUCCCGCAACGAGCGCAACCCUUAUCCUUUGUUGCCAGCGGUCCGGCCGGGAACUCAAAGGAGACUGCCAGUGAUAAACUGGAGGAAGGUGGGGAUGACGUCAAGUCAUCAUGGCCCUUACGACCAGGGCUACACACGUGCUACAAUGGCGCAUACAAAGAGAAGCGACCUCGCGAGAGCAAGCGGACCUCAUAAAGUUCGUCGUAGUCCGGAUUGGAGUCUGCAACUCGACUCCAUGAAGUCGGAAUCGCUAGUAAUCGUGGAUCAGAAUGCCACGGUGAAUACGUUCCCGGGCCUUGUACACACCGCCCGUCACACCAUGGGAGUGGGUUGCAAAAGAAGUAGGUAGCUUAACCUUCGGGAGGGCGCUUACCACUUUGUGAUUCAUGACUGGGGUGAAGUCGUAACAAGGUAACCGUAGGGGAACCUGCGGUUGGAUCACCUCCUUACCUUAAAGAAGC